rnacentral:rRNA from 1 species
GAUGAACGCUGGCGGCGUGCUUAACACAUGCAAGUCGAACGAAUCUUGAGGAGCUUGCUCCUCUUGGUUAGUGGCGGACGGGUGAGUAACGCGUGGGUAACCUGCCCUAUGCAGGGGGAUAACGUUUGGAAACGAACGCUAAUACCGCAUAAACUAUGAAAGUCGCAUGACUUUAAUAGCAAAGAUUUAUCGGCAUAGGAUGGACCCGCGUUGGAUUAGCUAGUUGGUGAGAUAACAGCCCACCAAGGCAACGAUCUAUAGCCGGCCUGAGAGGGUGAACGGCCACAUUGGGACUGAGACACGGCCCAAACUCCUACGGGAGGCAGCAGUGGGGAAUAUUGCACAAUGGGCGAAAGCCUGAUGCAGCGACGCCGCGUGAAGGAUGAAGGUCUUCGGAUUGUAAACUUCUAUCAGCAGGGAAGAAAGUAAGCCUUCGGGCUUACCUGACGGUACCUGACUAAGAAGCACCGGCUAACUACGUGCCAGCAGCCGCGGUAAAAC